UGCCAGGAAGAAAUAGGACGUGACGGU
rnacentral:piRNA from 1 species